rnacentral:lncRNA from 1 species
UAAAUUCAUUAAGUAGAUGGAUAAGUAUAAAUUGCAACAAUAUAUUGAACAAUGGAACACAAUAAGCUAAAAUUAAGGUGGCACGUAUUGGACAUUCUUUGGAGCAGAGAUGGAAAGUUAUGUCAACAGAAAUGUCAAUGUUAGAAAUACUAAACGAAUAAAGCAUGUAGCUAUGCUGUAGCAUAAAAACAGAAAGUAGAAAGACUUUUGGUCUUCUUUCCAUGUUUUGCCCUCCAACCAAAUCAAAGUGCUACCACGUGCCCUCUCUUUUGCCCGUCCAUCUCCUUUUAAUAUCCAAAAUUUCCAUAAAACAAAACCUUCAUAUCUUUGAUUGAUUGAGAGAGAGAGAGAUGGAUCCACCACAGCUACAUGCCAUAGACACCUCCAGCAAAAGCUAUCCCCCAAUUGAAGACGAGCAAGACAAAAUUGUCGACCAAUGGUAUUUUGCUCCUUUCUACUUACUACGAUUAAUUCUGUUUAAUAUUUUUCUGACUGUUUUAAUUAGACCGAUUCGGUUUACUCAAAUCUCUUUGUUGUUUUUAUUGUUUUUCUGCAAUUGUUCUUGCUUUUACGACUGUACUGAUAGCCUUUUGGAGUACUUGUGCUGCUAUGCGUUCUGGUGUUCCUAGGGAUACAUAUUAAGGAGACUUGUUAUUAGAUGAAUUAAUUAUGUUCUUCCGCUUUUGGCAUUUUGCACGGCAUUACUCGAUUUACAUAGAAAAUUUAGUCUUUCUAUACUGAAAAUUUAUAAUGAGAUUGUCGUGGCUUCUUAUUAGGUUAUAAUGAUCUUUUUCCAAUUAUAUGCAUGCCUAUGGUUCAUAAAGUUAUAUGCUAGAAAGAAUUUGAACCCUUUUUGAUCGUGCACUAAUCAAUUUUGAUAAUCAAAGAGGCGUUGGUUCUAUUCUGAUAAAAAGUUUGUGUUUCAGUUGUGAGUAAAGUAAAGGGAAGUUGACAAAUGACAACUAGUCAUAAAUUAUUGAAGAAUGGUCAGGAAUUUUCUCCCCUUCUACCUAGUGCCCUAAUCUUGAAGUGAUACUGGUCUGUACAUCCAAUGGCAUUCUGGCCUAAAGUGUUGGUGGAGCCCUAUAUACCACUUUGAUUGAUCCUGGGAUUGUGUCGAAUAGAUUUACAUCAAGAGACUUUUUUUUUUCACAAGCUCGAUUACUCUAAUGAUACCGACAAUGAUUUUUUCCCUUGUUUUAGCGCCGUUAUUUUACAUUGCGUGCCACCAGAAAAAUUGCUCUUGAUCAAAUUUCACAUGCCUAAAUUCUUUUCUUUGACACCUGCAAAUACUACGUAAUAUUGUAAUGUAGCAUUCUCCUUUUUUGCCUUUUUUCAAAAGAAAAACUUGAUUAUUAUUAAUGUACAGUACUUGACCUUUUACGACCCAAGGAAAGAGGCUUGGGGUUGGGGUUGGGGUUGUGGAUAGUCUUAUGUAGCACGAAUUAUGUCCGCGAAGUGGGAUGCGGAUACGAAUAUACAAAAAGUUUUUUAAGUAUUAAAGGAUAAUGAUAUAGGGUUAAAAUUUAAAAAGGUCUAAAAAUGUUAUUCAACUUACAAAAAGCGUUAGCUACACUCUGGUGAAGCAGUUUAGAAAGUAGUAUUACCUUCCAUGUUAUAGGUGCAAUUAGAUUAGCCAAGUUCAC